UACGGAGGAUGCAAGCGUUAUCCGGAUUUAUUGGGUUUAAAGGGUGCGUAGGCGGACUGGUAAGUCAGUGGUGAAAUUUUCCGGCUCAACCGGGAGACUGCCGUUGAAACUGUCAGUCUUGAGUCAGGUUGAGGUAGGCGGAAUGUGUAAUGUAGCGGUGAAAUGCUUAGAUAUUACACAGAACACCAAUUGCGUAGGCAGCUUACUGGGCCUGCACUGACGCUGAGGCACGAAAGCGUGGGGAGCGAACAGG
rnacentral:rRNA from 1 species